rnacentral:rRNA from 1 species
UACGGAGGAUCCGAGCGUUAUCCGGAUUUAUUGGGUUUAAAGGGUGCGUAGGUGGAUUGGUAAGUCAGUGGUGAAAGUUUGCAGCUUAACUGUAAAAUUGCCGUUGAAACUGCCGGUCUUGAGUGCAAAUGAGGUAGGCGGAAUGCGUCGUGUAGCGGUGAAAUUCUUAGAUAUCACGAGGAACUCCGAUUGCGCAGGCAGCUUACUAAGCCAUAACUGACGCUCAGGCACGAAGGCGUGGGGAUCAAACAGGAUUAGAUACCCCCGUAGUCCCU